AAGCAGAGGGAAGGAGUAGCUGCCAGUGAUGUGGUGCAGCUGCUGUGGCUGUUCUCAGUGUGGUGAUAACCCUGUUCUGGCUUAGCAGAGGAGGUGAGGGAAGAUGCAGCCCUGCUUGUUGCUUGUGGUCAUAAGCAAGAGGGUGAACUUCUGAAGCGGCGGCCUGGCGCAGGGUUGGAGCUGGGGCUGGGGACACGCUGCCAAAGGUUGAUACUCUGUGAUGCAGGAAAACAACCAAGUGUAAAGCAAAUGUGAGAAGAACAAAGAGAAAGCUCCUGUCCUCGCAGGGCAGAGAAGCUUUAGCUAUAAAGAAUGUGGCUUCCUCAUCCCCAUCUGAAGUAUUUUGAUAAAAUGAGAGACAGUGUGACCAUGGACCUUUAUUUCCCCCCUCAGGGCUGCAGGUCUG